rnacentral:rRNA from 1 species
AUAUUGGUCAAUGGCCGCAGGGCUGAACCAGCCAAGUCGCGUGAGGGAUGACGGUCCGAUGGAUUGUAAACCUCUUUUGUCAGGGAGCAAAGGGCGCCACGUGUGGCGUUUUGCGAGUACCCGACGAAAAAGCAUCGGCUAACUCCGUGCCAGCAGCCGCCGUAAUACAGAGGAUGCGAGCGUUAUCCGGAUUUAUUGGGUUUAAAGGGUGCGCAGGCGGAGGUGCAAGUCAGCGGUCAAAUUGCGGGGCUCAACCCCGUACUGCCGUUGAAACUGCAUCCCUUGAGUGCGCGAGAAGUAUGCGGAAUGCGUGGUGUAGCGGUGAAAUGCAUAGAUAUCACGCAGAACUCCGAUUGCGAAGGCAGCAUACCGGCGCGCAACUGACGCUCAUGCACGAAAGCGUGGGUAUCGAACAGG